rnacentral:rRNA from 1 species
GAUGAACGCUGACAGAAUGCUUAACACAUGCAAGUCAACUUGAAUUUGGGUUUUUAACUUCGGUUUGGGUGGCGGACGGGUGAGUAACGCGUAAAGAACUUGCCUCACAGCUAGGGACAACAUUUGGAAACGAAUGCUAAUACCUAAUAUUAUGAUAAUAGGGCUUCCUAUAAUUCUGAAAGCUAUAAGCGCUGUGAGAGAGCUUUGCGUCCCAUUAGGUAGUUGGAUAGGUAACGGCUCACCAAGGCGAUGAUGGGUAGCCGGCCUGAGAGGGAGAUCGGCCAGACAGAGAGUGAGACACAGCCCGCACACAUACGGGAGGCAGGAGGGGGGAAGGAAGAUCAAAGAACCAACAGUCUGAUCCAGCAAUUCUGUGUGGACAAUGAAGUAGUUCUGAAUGUAGAAAGCUUUCAUUAGGGAAGAAAAAAAUGACAGUACCAACAGAAGAAGUGACGGCUAAAUACGUG